rnacentral:rRNA from 1 species
UACGUAGGGUGCAAGCGUUAAUCGGAAUUACUGGGCGUAAAGCGUGCGCAGGCGGUUUUGUAAGACUGUCGUGAAAUCCCCGGGCUCAACCUGGGAAUGGCGAUGGUGACUGCAAGGCUAGAGUUUGGCAGAGGGGGGUAGAAUUCCACGUGUAGCAGUGAAAUGCGUAGAGAUGUGGAGGAAUACCGAUGGCGAAGGCAGCCCCCUGGGCCAGUACUGACGCUCAUGCACGAAAGCGUGGGGAGCAAACAGG